rnacentral:rRNA from 1 species
GACGAACGCUGGCGGCGUGCUUAACACAUGCAAGUCGAACGGAAAGGCCCUGCUUUUGGUGGGUGCUCGAGUGGCGAACGGUUGGGUAACACGUGAGUAACCUGCCCUUGACUUUGGGAUAACUGCAGGAAACUGGGGCUAAUACCGGAUAGGAGCUCCUGCUCCAUGGUGUGGGUUGGAAAGUUUCGGCGGUUGGGGAUGGACUCGCGGCUUAUCAGCUUGUUGGUGGGGUAGUGGCUUACCAAGGCUUUGACGGGUAGCCGGCCUGAGAGGGUGACCGGCCACACUGGGACUGAGAUACGGCCCAGCCUACUACGGGAGGCAGCAGUGGGGAAUAUUGCACUAUGGGCGGAAGCCUGAUCCAGCCACGCCGCGUGCGGGAUGACGGCAUUCGGGUUGUAAACCGAUUUCGCCUGUGACGAAGCGUGAGUGACGGUAAUGGGUAAAGAAGCCCCGGCUAACUACGUG